GCUUCCGGGCCGCGGGGGAGGGAGUGCGGCUGUGGCGUGCCCGGGGGGAGGGCGUGUGGUGCUGAGGGUGCGGCCCGGCGGGUAGAGGCAGCCCCGUUAGCACGGGUGUGACGCUGCGCGAACGUGCUGGGCAGGGAGGCUGAAGGGGCAGCGAAGAGGGUGGUCGCGUCCUUCUGAGCAGUGGGAGGAUGAGCUGCCAACGAAGGAGUUGUUCCCUGCUGUGGAGCGUGCGGGGCUGGCCGCUCCUCCCUCAGCCACCACUUACUCAGGCUGCUAACAGAGGAUUCGAGUCCUUGGCCACGUAGCAAUUAGCAGGGCAAUAAAAAUGUCAGCUUGACAUGCUCAAGUGUGGAAGGUACGAUGGCGUGUGGUUCACUUGGCGUCGUGAGGCAGGAGAAGAAGCGGCUCAGCCCAUGGAGCGGGGUGGCAUCACAAGGAAAGCAGUGUCACCACAGCAUAUUGGCUUCGUACAUCAUCCCUUGUUUCCAAUCGAGCAGUUCCCAAUGCACCUCUUCAUGAUGCAACGUUUCGAUCCUUACUAUUUGGCCUUCCAAAUGCAAGCGGAGUAGUCGCAUCAUCUGCCCAUGAAUAUCAGAGUGAGAACUUGCAGACGUUUGAUGGUAAAACGUGAGCGCUGUGAGGCACCGCUCUGUGUCAGUGCCUCAGUGGGAGCACGGGCUGAAGUGGAGCGGAAUUGCCAACCUCCUACCUUCCCUGCCAGGAAUGUAAAUCAACAUUAAAGAUGAUUUUUAAGAGAAAUAGCAAGUUAAACAUUUGUACAAACACAUCAUCAAAUAGAGGUUGUACCGCCUCUCUCUAAACCUCUUGCCUGCUGGCAAAAAUAAAACUGUUCCAGUGACAUUUUUCCUGCUCUGCUGUGACAAGGGCUGCAUAAAUAUAGACACCGUGGAUUAGAAUAGACUUCAGCAAUCUCCAACUUCCUUUCUAGCAGCCGCUUCUGCAGUUUCCCAUAGCUAUGGGUGGAAAACAGGGAUCCUAAGCAGGGGUGAAUCCUGUGUUACUACCAGGAGCUGAGGAGGUUGCUGCCCUUUGCCAAGAAAGCGUGGUCAGGUUGCUGUCACACAUAGGACAGACAAAUACUGGAAUGCAGGGCCGGCAGGGGUGAUGCUUCCUCAUGUGUGCAUGGCACUUCAAGAUUUAGGAUCCUGUGGGCCUCAAGAACAGCUUUUCUCUGGGUGCAUUUCACUUCUCGUCAGCAGGCAGCUGAAAAAUUGGACUCACAUGGGUUAUGUGUGGUGAGUCUCACGCAAAGAAAUGAAUGUCAUUGUCAUUGCUUAUGCCAACAGCUGGGACCAUCUGGGACACUAAAGACAACAUUGUCUACGUUUGUACAGCUGAUCGAAGGUUGUUUUUAGCAAGCCUCUAAAAAAUCUUCCCUUUUUGGGCCAGCAGAGCAAGGCUUUUAACUUCCAGGCAUGGUGUUUUGUAUGCAGAGCAGCUUAAGUCAUCAGCAGGGCCCAGUGCUGAGACUUUUUAGUCCCACAGACAUGCCAUCCACACUGAUGCUGAAGACUUUAUUCCUUUCUCUCAAAGAAGAGGCUGCCAAGGGGGAAGAUGGGGUAAAAGGUACAUUGGGUUACAUCUCUAAAGUAGAUCUUCUCAUUUGUUUUGGCUUUUUUUUUUUUUUCUUCUCGACUUCAGAUUGCUUUUGGCUUUACCACCUUGUAAAAUAGGAAAACACGAGAUGUAACUAGUUAGCAAACACUUCCUAUUGUUUAGAAACACAUGAAAUUCAAAUCGGUAGCGUACCUGGGGCACCAUCAGAUUGAGGUGGGAUUGGUUGCGAUUUAGCACAGAGGAAUGUGUGCUACGGUAUUGUGGCGAAGAAAGAGCAUAUGAAAAAGCACAGCUGUGAACCAGUUGCUUUUAAGCAGGAUAUGUAAAGGUGAAUGGAGAAAAUAAGUAUACAUUGUGAAGGUGCGUGACACUAAUGGAUUCUUUUCCUCCUGUAGCUUAUUGUAGGAGAAGUUCAAGUGCCUGGACAGGUGCCUGGACAAGUACCUUUUGUGCCAAAAAUCUAUUUGAUUGGUAUAUAACUCCUAUCGCUUUGUGGCAAGGGAGGUUUCUUCAGCUUUAAGCUAGAGCAGUCAGCUCUCUGGGAAAAGAAAUCCACCAGGUUCAAAUGUGGCAAGUGGAAGUGGUCCACCUAUUCUUUAAUUCUGGAAAAAAGUUAUUUUCUUCUGGAGAACGAGAAGAAGGAUAGGGCUUCCUGCAUGCCACGGCCUCCCCAGGGACUUUCUCACUUGAAAGAAGGUCAUAGAGUUCAAAGCUGUUUCUCAAGUUCUGCUGUGUAGCAUUGCUGUGAUGUCAUGCAUCAUUAUAAACAAGUUAUUAUUUCAUUCAGUGUUUUGGGAAAUGAUGGGUCUGGAACAAUACACCCACAGCAGUUCCCUCCCUUAUCCCAGCUGGCUCUUUAGUGAACUGCUUAUGAGCUGUACCUGGCUACGUGAUGUCUGUCUGUCCGUGUCUGGUAACACUGCACCUCUGGGUAAUUUGGAGUAGGAAUACUGAUGAAUUUUAUAUGGGGUGGAAAGGUGGAAAGGAGGAGAGGGACAUACAUUUGCAGUGUUGUGUCAUUUGAUGGCUGCUUGAUGUCAGACCCUUGGGCUGAGAAGGCCCUGGGGCUGCAUUGCUGCAAGCACUGAAGGCAUCAUCACUCCCUUUUCUAUGCACUUGUGCCACUGUCAGUCAGUCACUUACAUCUGGUGGGAUAGCAGGAAAAAAAAAAAAA